AGAAACUAUCCCAAAAUGAGUAUUUGUGAGAAACUAUCUUUAAAAUUUUACGUAGUUUGAAUAAUAUUGAGGAACUGCCACUGCCAUCCAAGGCCCCGGCAUAACCAUUGAGCCCAUUCAAAAUGGGUUUGAUGAAGGUGGGUUCAAGCAAGCUCAUAGUCUACAAGCCUACUUAACUGAGUUAAUUCUGACAUUCAGAAAAUUCUGCAGUCCUGUUGACUGUUUGGUUUAUGAUUCUUUACUCCCUUGGGCACUUGAUGUGGCUAAGGAAAUGGGGAUUUGUAAAGCAGUUUUUUGUUUUACUAAUUGUGCUUCUGUUUGUUCCUUGUAUUGGUUCCUUCAUCGCGGUCUUCUUACUCUGCCUCUGACGCCUGAUAGAUUUCUGGUUUUGGCCGGACUUCCUGAGGUUCAGUCUUCUGAUUUUCCUGGUUUUAUCGUGUAUCCUUUGGAGCUUUCUGAGUAUCUUGGGUUAAUCAUGGAUCAGUUUUCUAAUGUAGAGGAAAAUGAUGGGGUUUUUAUCAAUACAUUUGCACAACUGGAAAGUGAGAUAGAAGAAGCGAUGUCAGAGAAAUGGCGAAGAAAUGAAGAAGAAUUCAUGUAGCUUGAGAUAGCUCAGAGGUGGAUAUAGACAAGUUCUUACAGACAUUGCAGAUAAAAAAGUGAAGCACAGAGUGGAUAGAAGGUGAGUAGAACAGAGCCUUAAUGAUUAAAACGAUUGGUAUCAUGAAGCGGAACGAGCAACUGAUUGGAUUGUCAAUGUUGAGCACCUUGCAUCUACUAGCCAAGAUAAUGUCUAAGAUUUAUCUUUAUAAUAAUUCUAAUUUGUACCCUAUUUAUCACUUUUGACCCAUUAAGUAUUCCCCUCGUGAGGAGGGUCUCCUUGUAUUUUUUCUUUUAUUCUUACCAUUUCAAAAAAUAAGAGUCGAUUUGAAACAUACAAUCAGUUAUACUUUACUAUACAAUUACCAAGUGAGUAAUAAUUGUUUCAAGAAGAGAGUUAUAAAUGACAAAUGAUGUACAACCUGCUUACAUCCACAAAUGCAUGUUAGAUGCCAAAAAAAAACCAAAUUUUUUAAUUUUUAAUUUUAUUUUCACAAAUUCUUAUUU